rnacentral:lncRNA from 10 species
GCUCAGUGGGGGUGCUUUUUGAGCCAUGAUGAGCAGGAAAAGGACUUUCACAAGAUAAUGUCAUCACUUAAGGCAAAGACCAGCCAUUUAUACUUCUGUUGUGGUGGAAUGUCAUCAGUUAAGGUGGGGCAGGGCAUAUUCACUUCUUUUGUGAUUUUUCAGUUACUUCCGGCCAUCUGGUCGUAUCCGUGCAAGUCACAGGGGAUGCGAUGGCUUGGCUUGGGCUCAGAGGCCUGACAUUCCUGCCUUCUUAUAUUAAUAAGAAAAAUAAAACAAAAUAGUGUUGAAGUGUUGGGGUGGCAAAAAUUUUGGGGGGGUGGUAUGGAGAGAAAAUGGGCGAUGUUUCUCAGGGCUGCUUCAAGCGGGAUUAGGGGCCGCAUGGGAACCUAGAGUGGGAGAGAUUAAGCUGAAGGGAGGUCUUGUGGUAAGGGGUGAUAUUGUGGGGAUGUUACAAGAAACAUUUGUCGUACAGAAUGAUUGCUGAUGGCCUGGAUACGGUUUUGGAUGAAUUGAGAAACUAAAUGGAAUAAGAGAAGGAGAAAAACAGGUAUAAAAGGUCUAAGAAUUGGGAUGACUCAGGAUAUCUGAUUAGAGAGUGCCUAAGGAGAUUCAGCAGAGUCCUGCCAGCAAAGAUUAUUUAUUUACUUCAAGAGUUAAGAGUGGCAGUUUGGGGAUAGCACCAGGAGAUAUCACCUGUGAUGGCUUGGAAAAACAAUGUAAACCGGCAGUGUAAACAAGAGCAGGGCAUGUAUUAGUAGUUGAGAACGGUGAAUAGGAGUAUGACUAGACAGAAGAUAGCAGGGAUGACAAGUUCUUUGGGGCACAGUCUAAGUGGGAAGGCUAAACUGAGGAAUUAUGUCUGACAGGAGGGAAGAAAUGACUGGGGUGGCCUUCUCAGACC